rnacentral:tRNA from 1 species
GCCUGGCUGGCUCAGUAGGAAGAGCAUGCGGCUCUUGAUGUCGGGGGUCGUGAGUUCGAGCCCCACGUUGGGUG